rnacentral:misc_RNA from 1 species
GAACGAGUCACGUCCGAGAUAAACAAGUGUCUUGCAUCGAAAACUUAAAUACUUGUUGAUUAAUGAUAAGAAUUGCCUGGUGAUGAUUCUAUAAGCCAAACCAUGUCUCUCUUUUCUGAUACCGAGCAGGCAGCCGACUGCCUGGACCGCCUGCAGACCCAGCUGUGGGAGCAGGGAGACCACAGCCAGGACGAUGUGAUAUCGUCAGCCAUCUGCAUGAUGGAGAGCCCGCUGUUCCGGCAGCUGCUCACCCUGCAGGAGUCGCUGCUUGAGCUGAAGCAGGUCUCCGAGAUGCAGCACCUCACCGAGGACUCCUUCAACUUCGCGGCCUCGGGAGAACUCAUCCUGGCCACGCCCGCCGGCUCCAUGACCUACAUGGAGGGCAGUGAGAGCUCCACCCUGAACCUCCGCUCGGCGUACCCCGGCAGCGCCAUCUCCACGCAUAGCUAUGCCAUCGAGUUCCAGCGCGCCAUCGAGAAGGCGGCACAAGGGAGGGAAGUGGAGACUAUAAAGCUGUUUAAGCCAGAGAACUGCUCUCUCGGUUUCAGUGUCGUCGGAUUGAAGAAGGAGGAUUGCGGGGAGCUGGGAAUUUAUGUGCAGGAUAUCCAGCCUGGUGGGAUCGCAGCAAAAGAUGGCCGACUGAGAGAAGGUGACCAGAUUCUGGCCAUCGAUGGCCAACCCUUAGACAUCUCCCACCAGGAAGCCAUUCGCAUCCUUCAGAGUUCGCAGGGUCUUGUGGAAAUCGUCGUCGCUCGUGGCCCACUUCCGUUUGACGAGGAGGCCGGCACUGAGGUUGAGGCUGGCACCGAGGUUGAGCCCACAGACGAGGAGUUUGUGCAAAGAAGCGAGCCUCGUGCUGAAGAACUAGUCCCGCCUGGGGGAAUCGAGAAGCUGUCAGACAUGGUGUUGAGUACCGAGUGGACCCAAGUUGAAGUUAUUGACCUGAUUAACGAUGGAACUGGACUUGGUUUUGGGAUCAUAGGAGGCCGGAGUACUGGGGUGGUGGUGAAGACCAUUCUGCCUGGAGGUGUAGCUGACCUGGAUGGACAUUUACGGAGUGGCGACCACAUCCUGCAGAUCGGUGACGUGAACGUCCGGGCAAUGGGCUCGGAACAGGUGGCCCUGGUGCUGCGCCAGUCUGGCAGCCAUGUGCGACUCAUCGUGGCCCGGUCCAUCGUAGAGCCGCCACCAUACCAUAUCCCCCAUGCCCCCAUCAUCCCCACCCACAUGCUGGAUGACCACCUGGUCCAUAUCAACGAGCUGAUGGUGAUGGAGUCGGCGGAUCACAUCGACGUCACCCACCUGACCGAGGAGCAGCUUGAACAGUUCCACCCCGGCAUCAGCAACAUCCUUGCCGGACAAGUACAGGUCCAUCCGCAACCCACUGACAUGACUAACGAGGUAGCAGAAGUUGAGAUGUUUGAAGUGGGGCUUCAGAAGGAUUCGCAGGGUCUGGGAAUAACAAUAGCAGGCUACGUGGGAGCAGACAAGGCACCAGAUGAAAUAUCUGGCAUAUUUGUCAAGGGAAUAGCCCCGGACAGUGCGGUAGCUGUUGAUGGAAGAGUUCACAUCAAUGACCAAAUAGUGGAGGUUGACGGGAUCUCGCUGCAGGGUUACAACAAUCAUCAGGCGGUGGAGGUUCUUCGUAAGACUGGACAGGUCGUCCAUCUCAAACUGGUGCGCUACAUCCACGGGCCAAAAUACGAAAAACUACAACAGUACCUGGCUCAGGCCAAUUCCACCAUUGUUGUUCAAUCGAGUGCUCCUGCUAUCACGGAUAACGAAAGCUCUGCAGUAUCUAAUCCUACGUACGAUUUGGCAUCUCGACAGGUGGAAGUGGAUGACAUCACGUUCUCGACGGACGAGGAUUACAGUGGGGAACUGCUGCCUGAUGUGGAGGCUGCCAUCAAGGCUUGCUGGGAACCUUUGAUUGGUCCAGAGUUCACAGUGGUGGUUGCUCAGCUGUCUAAGUUUAAGGAAGGGGGUGGUCUGGGGAUCAGCCUGGAGGGCACAGUGGACGUGGAGAAUGGGGUGGAGGUGCGACCUCACCACUACAUCCGCUCGAUCCUCCCAGACGGACCCGUCGGGCUCAAUGGACGUCUCGUCAGUAGCGAUGAGCUUCUCGAGGUAAAUGGCAAGCGUCUGCUGGGACUGAACCACGUGGAGGUGGUGAACAUUUUGAAGGAACUGCCGCAGCACGUCCGGCUCGUGUGUGCUCACAGAAAGGUCCAGCCUUCAGAAAUCUAUGCAGCUCAAGAUGCCCAGUUCCCCAGUUCAGUGUUAAACAUGGGGGUGCACCCCUCCGCUGACCGGCUCUUCAAGGCCAAGUCCGAGAUGGCCCUGUCCACCACGGAACACACGGUCAUCCAGAACGCGCUUAACAAGUCCAAGUCGCGCUCACUCGAACCCCUGGCGGGGAUGGCCAUGUGGAGUUCGGAACCGGUUGUCAUCGAGCUGCAGAAGGGAGAUCAGGGUCUGGGAUUCAGUAUUCUCGAUUAUCAGGACCCUGUGAACCCCAAUGAGACGGUGAUCGUCAUCCGAAGCCUGGUGCCGAAAGGAGUGGCCCAGCAAGAUGGCCGCCUCGUGCCAGGCGACCGGCUGAUAUUUGUGAACGACAUCAACGUGGAGCACGCCACGCUCAAUGAAGCGGUGCAGGCGUUGAAGGGAGCGCCGCGCGGCGUCGUCAGGAUCGGUGUUGCCAAGCCACUGCCACUCACUGACUCCUUCAAGGACGAAACACAGCCAUCGCUGUUUUCUGCACCACCUCUCUCUGAACUAUCAGCUUCCGCGUCACCUCAUGUCCAAGAAUCACAAUUCACAGACGAGCUUCCCGAAUCGUCCACAAUCACACUCACCACUCAAACAAAACUAAACCGAUCAGUUUCGUCUUCGUCGUCAGGAGAGACGGGACUUAAGCGCAAAGACAGUUUUUACGAAAGUGACGAAGACGAGGUGAAAACGCCUCGUAAGUCCACUCCUCAGAAGUCGCCCAAAAAGGUGGAGUCCCCUCCGUCGUAUCACAACAUUUCGGACGGCGGGUUGCUAAUCAAACAAGCGUACAUGCUGCAGCAGAGUUCGCACGUACAGCGCGACAUAGUGACUGACCGCGCCGAUCACGUACAGAUGGAGAUGGACCUAGUGGCUCCAUUGCCUAGUUACGAGGAGGCAACACAGGGCCUCACCGAGACGAGAAUGGUGACUGGCGACCCUUUUGUGGAGGUGGCCCCUCCCCCGGUGCCGCCGAGGACCGAGUCACAUGGUGCUAUGGAAGUAGACUCUGCGAUAAUUCCAGACCAGUUACAGGACCACUCGGAUGCCGAGUCAGAUGAGCAUUCGUCCCUGAGCUCUCCGCGGUUCGCCUGUCUCGACGCCAGUGCCGAGAAAGACAGCCUGUAUCUCGACCUCUCUGCGUCGUCGAGCAGAUACGGCCCUCCCCCCAUCCCACCUAAACCCCGUCUGCCACGGGCUAGUCCUCGCAGUCCUCCGGGCAAGCAGCAGGAUGUUGCGCCUCCACUUCCGAUCUCUUCCCCUCCGGUUAUUACUCCUCGAGAUUCAUCACCAUUAUCCCCCAAGAAAGAAACUAAAACCAAGCUAAGUCCUCUGAUAGUGACCAGGCACAGGAAGACGGAGAGUGCUGACAGUUCGGUGUCAUCGUUGUCAGACCACAUCACCUCAAGUGACCUUAGAGCAGUAUCGUCCCCCCCGUCGACCCCCCGCACCAUGUCUCCGGGGAUGUCCCCGCUCGCCUCGCCCAGCCUUAUCCGGGGAUUCGGUGCCAACACAGACAUCAUUCCAGCCUCGUACGAGAAAACAAUCAAAAUCAAGAAGGGCAGUGACCAAUUAGGUGUAUCCCUAGAGGCGGUGGACCGGGGAAUCAAUGGCUGCAUUGUCAAGUCUAUCAUAAAGGGAGGUGCCAUUGACAAAGAUGGCCGUGUGGCCAUCGGGGAUUACAUUGUUCAGAUGAACAACGAAAGUAUGCGCAAAAUCACCAACGCUCAAACCAGGGCAAUCCAGCGGAGGGCGUCACUUCUCAGUAAUGAUGCAAGUAUUACGUACAUAUCAGGUUCCGAUGCAGCUGUUUACCGUGAGACUGUGAGCACUAGGAGCUCAGAACAGAGUCCCUUACACACUCCAGCCAUGCCUUCACCCAGCGCUGUGUUAUCGUCACCUCGUCGGCUAGGGUCAACAACAAGUGAUCACGGUGCUGAACUAACAGGCUCUUCAGUUGACCCUGUCCCGUCACCGACAGCAGCUUCAGAACCACGGCAGAAAUCUCUGGCAUCUGACGGGUCUCCUGCCAUCAGCAACCAGGCCUGGGGACCUCUUCGAACAGUGGUGCUCGAGAGAAAGCCGGGCGAAAGUCUGGGCAUCAGCAUUGUUGGUGGCCGAGUGGACAUGUUUAAUGUGGCCGAGGAACACACGAUCACAGGCAUUUUCAUUAAACACGUUCUGGAGAACAGUCCUGCAGGCAGGAAUGGCACUCUCGAGACCGGAGACAGAAUACUAGAGGUUAAUGGUCAAGAUGUCCGGAAUGCAACUCACGAUGAGGCUGUUGAAGUUAUCCGCAAUGCAAAAUCACCUGUCACCUUUGUCGUCCAAAGUCUGUCAGAUUCAGUUUGUCCUGGCGAUUUGGAGGCUGCUGAUUUGAAACCCGUGCAGUCCAUGGAGGAGAUGUGCUCCACUUCCAUCACUAAGGUCCACGGUGAAGCCAACAAGGCACCGCUCGACCAGCGGCUGAGCUCCGUGGGUGCUGACUCUUCAAAAGGAGAAUCAGUCGGGGACAGUGACUCUGAAGAUGAAUAUGGAUAUUCUGACAAAAUAUUACAUAAGAAAUAUGGUGACCUGAACGGCAAGAUAUUCCUGUUAGAUUUGAAUACUGGCGGGAAUGGGCUUGGUUUGAGUCUGGCGGGGAACAAGGAUCGCAACACGAUGAGUGUCUUUGUCGCGGGUGUUCAGCCAGACGGUGUGGCAGCCAAGGAUGGCAGGAUACAUGUGGGCGAUGAACUCCUAGAAAUUAAUGGACAAGUGCUAUAUGGACGCAGUCAUCUGAAUGCAUCAGCCAUUAUUAAAGGAAUAAAGACCUCACAAGUUAAGAUAGUUCUUUUGAGGCGUGAAGAUUAUCUCCAGCAUAUGGCCAUAAAACCACUAAGGCUAGGACCCCUAUUACACACAGAGGAUUCUAGUACAAUUCCUUCCCAGCAGACAUCACCAACAACAGCACCAGCAGCAACCACUGUGACAUUGCCAGCUAAACCAAAGUCACAGAAAGAGUCGCGUAAAGAGACGCAGAAAGAGCCGGAACCACCAGCCGAGACUGUCCGUACCAUCACCGUCACACUGCAGAAGGGAUCCCAGGGUCUAGGGUUUGGAAUUGCUGAGGAAGAUCAUGACGGUCACCAUGGCAUCUACAUCAAGAGUAUUACGCCAGGUGGAAUCGCCUCACAGGAUGGUAAACUGAAUGUAGGAGAUGAAAUUCUGGAAGUAGGUGACAAGUCUUUCAGAGGUGUACAUUAUGAUAAGGCAAUAGAUGUAUUACGCACAACUACGGGUACAGUGAAGUUAAAAGUACGUCCAUGUGUCUCACCCGGUGGUGUAAUACACCUCGCAAACACUCCAGGUGAGUCAUCGACUGACCCCGCCAACACAUCGGCGGACCCAAAGACAUGCGCCAUCACCCCGGGGCGCGAGACGCUCAUCGAGAUCGAGAAGGGCCGCACCGGACUCGGGCUUAGUAUUGUGGGCGGGUCCGACACUCUCCUAGGAGCUAUUAUUAUUCACGAAGUGUAUGAGGAUGGUGCUGCCGCCCGCGAUGGAAGACUGCUGGCUGGUGACCAGAUACUGGAGGUGAACAGUGAAGACCUCCGAGAAGCAACCCAUGACCACGCGAUCCAGGUUCUGCGCCAGACUCCGUCGAACGUGACAAUCCUCGUGUACCGAGACGACAACCAGGUGCGUGAGGAGGACAUCUACGACAUUUUCUCCGUGGAGCUGAUGAAGAAACCGGGCAAAGGGCUAGGGCUCAGUAUCGUUGGCAAGAAGAACGAUGUCGGGGUCUACAUAUCAGAUAUUGUUAAAGGUGGUGCCGCCGAAGCGGACGGCCGACUUAUGCAAGGCGACCAGAUUCUGGCCGUCAAUGGGGAGGACAUGAGGAACUCCACCCAGGAAUACGCAGCCGGCGUCCUCAAGACACUAAUGGGCAAGGUCACACUGACUGUGGGUCGGUUAAAAGCCGGAUCACGAGCAUCCUCAAGAAGAAACUCGGGUUCUCCUGGCAGUGCGCUGAAAAAAUCUGAUUCCAGUGCCAGCAACCGGUCACGAGGAAAACAUUCUAAAAGUCUUCCCUCUUCCAAAAGCUACUAAUGCCUAGUUCUGUUAUUGAUGUGUUAAUUUUGUGCGCCAUUAAAUUUCACCUGUAUCAUGUCACAACAUCAUUUCUCCCUAUACUCUUGUGUCGCCAGCACAUCUGUUUUGUAUUGUAAACUUUCCAUAAUAUUUUUUUCUUUCUUUAUAAUAAUGCACUGCUUACCCAUGUACAAAUCCAAAUCUGAAUCUGUGCAUUCCUGCCAUGUCGAUACUCUGUGUCAUUCAUUCUACUUCUGGUUAAUCAAAGAACUUAAAGUACUUUUCACUUCAGUACUAAAUGUGUAUGUUUUAGUUUUUUAAAAUGGAAUUCUGCAUUGCUCAAGUUAAAACCUGACCAUCUGCAGACAAACCUUUAUUUAAAUUUUUAAACUUCAAAUGUUCAUAAAGAUAUGUUUCAUGAAUUAAUUAGAUUAUUAAAUGAUUGUUUUAAAUUCUCAGAUGGCUGUGGAGGUAGCUAGAAAGGAACUACUGUCAUUAUUUUAUAAUUCCAAUCAUAGUAUUUCAGUGAUUUCAUUUCAAACCAUUACAGACACUGUUGAUCUUCAGUAUGCAUCUCACAUAUACAUACAACUGUACUCAACAAAAUAAUUAUUUCUUAAAAACAUGGUAGUGUUUUUAUUUUUAUUGUUAAAAAAAGUGUCACAAACUGAUAUAAUUUAUUUGUAAAACAUAAAUAUUAAUUAAUAAGUGUAGAAAUUUAUCAGCAAUAAUCAGUAGUUUAAUGUUGUUAGUUACUUUUCACUUUUAUUUAUUCCAGUAAUAACAAACAAUGGCCAUAUUUGAACAUUUUGGUUUUAGUGAUAAUUGUGCCUUAUUACCAGUAGUCAUAAUAUUACGAAUGCAUUUUAAUGCAUAAUUAAUUAUUAAUCAAAGUUGUACAGUUCACAUAAAUGCAGCAUUAUGUUAAAAUUUUGUUUUGUUGAACAUUUUAAUAAUAAUAAUAAAUAGUUGUGACUUGGAUAUUUAUCAUACGCUGUAAGGACAAAUAAUAAAUAUCUGUCUUUAAAAGCAAUAAUUGACAUCAAGGUUGUAAAAGAUUUUUUUUAAAUUAAUUUGCUUAUGUUUUGAAUUUUUUGCUCAAGAUUAAUUUCUAAGUAUCAAAAUGACAAUUUAAUAUUCAUAUUAGAUGGUUUUUGUUGUUAGUCUUUUAAAUUUAGCUCUUUAUUCCCCUCUUUAUGCUUUUGAAAAAUGACCUAAAUAUUUACAUUUACAUUGGAUAUAUCAAAGGAGUUUUGUAUAUUUUAAUUUUAAUUGUGUGGAAUGAAGAUUCUAAACAGGUAUCACUUUUACAUUUGGAAGCUUCCUUUAAUUGUCAUUAAAACUUUAUUAUUUGCGGAAUCUGUAAAUAAGAUGAAAAACAAAACAUUAAGGAACCUAAAACAUGUAAAUUUGUCCUAAGAUAAUUAAGAACUGUAUUUAUAUAUUUUAGAAAUUUUCAAAUUGAAUUUUGUGCAGCUAAAAUUUAACAUAAUUUAAUGCAUGUACAUGCUAUGCUGUUACGUGUACAUAUAUUAUACUACUGGUAUUAUGCCUGCAGUACAAUAUUAGCAUUAAGUGUAAGUUAUUUACUUUUCAGAGCCUUCAUUUAGUUAUUGCAGAAGAUGAAUGAAUGUCAGAUCAUAGAUUUCAUAGUUUUCUUUCAUCAUUUAAAAAAACAAAAGUCUAUUUUUUUCUGACUUUGUUCAUUAUAUCAGUAAGCAAUAGUUUCAGAAUUAGAACUAGUAGCUUUGGAAUUGGAAAUAACAAAGAGGUGUCAGUGAGGACUGGACACACCUGAGAACAGUAGACCUGCACCAUGACGAGUCGGGCUCUCUCGGGAUCAGUAUCGCCGGGGGAGUGGGCUUGCCUCUCGGAGACGUACCCAUCAUUAUUGCCAGCCUCAAUCCC